rnacentral:ncRNA from 1 species
UAGUCUGCCAUACGCAGGAAGACCCGCUGAACUGAAGCAUCUCAUUAAGCGGAGGAAAAGAAACUAACUAGGAUUCCCUUAGUAAAGGCGAUCGAAAAGGGAACAGCCCAACGUCUUAAUCCCGCAAGGGAAAUGUAGUCGGUUCACCUAUUGCACUGGUCUAAGUCAGAUGGAAUGCUGCGCGAUUCAGAGUAAAAGCCUCGUAUGACCAACCGCAAGCUUACGAUGGACCGGGGAGAGUCGGAUACUUUGAGAGUAGUGUCUUAAGGGGGUGGUAUGUCCCAUCCAAGGCUAAAUAACGUGAGGAGACCGAUAGAUUACAAGUAGUGUGAACGAAAGAUGAAAAGAACUCUAAAACAGAGGGUGAAAAGUUCCUGAACUUGCUUAGGGUUAAGGCUAUUUAUAGUACCCGUCUUGAAACACGGAUUAGGGAGUUUAUCUGUAGUGCGAGUCUUUGCACGUUAACUGUAAAGGCGUAGAGAAAGCAACUGGCGUUUGCAUGGCUACUGAGCAUUACUGAUAGGACCCGAAAGGUGGUGAACUUUGCCUGCACAGGUUGAAGUCAGGGGAAACUCUGAUGGAGGACCGUACGGGUUAUUGAUGUGCAAA